rnacentral:rRNA from 1 species
UGGGGAAUUUUGGACAAUGGGGGCAACCCUGAUCCAGCAAUGCCGCGUGUGUGAAGAAGGCCUUCGGGUUGUAAAGCACUUUUGUCCGGAAAGAAAACGCCGUGGUUAAUACCCGUGGCGGAUGACGGUACCGGAAGAAUAAGCACCGGCUAACUACGUGCCAGCAGCCGCGGUAAUACGUAGGGUGCAAGCGUUAAUCGGAAUUACUGGGCGUAAAGCGUGCGCAGGCGGUCCGCUAAGACAGAUGUGAAAUCCCCGGGCUUAACCUGGGAACUGCAUUCGUGACUGCAAGGCUAGAGUAUGGCAGAGGGGGGUAGAAUUCCACGUGUAGCAGUGAAAUGCGUAGAGAUGUGGAGGAAUACCGAUGGCGAAGGCAGCCCCCUGGGCCAAUACUGACGCUCAUGCACGAAAGCGUGGGGAGCAAACAGGAUUAGAUACCCUGGUAGUCCACGCCCUAAACGAUGUCAACUAGUUGUUGGGGAUUCAUUUCCUUAGUAACGUAGCUAACGCGUGAAGUUGACCGCCUGGGGAGUACGGUCGCAAGAUUAAAACUCAAAGGAAUUGACGGGGUCAUAGCUGUUUCCU